rnacentral:rRNA from 1 species
AUGAAAAAGGCUGACAAGUUCGAGUGGACUCCAGAAGCUGAUGCAGCGUUUGCUGAGCUAAAAGCUCUGCUGUCCACCCAGCCGGUGCUUGCUGCUCCAAUCAGCAAAGAGCCUCUGUUGCUCUACAUCGCAGCCACAGGACAAGUCGUCAGUACUGUGCUAACGGUCGAGCGGGAAGAAGAAGGAAAAGCUCUCAAAGUUCAGCGCCCAGUGUAUUAUUUGUCUGAAGUCUUGACUCCAUCCAAGCAGAGAUAUCCUCAUUAUCAGAAGCUUGUGUAUGGAAUAUACAUGACCACAAAGAAGGUUGCUCAUUAUUUCUCUGACCAUUCAAUCACAGUCGUCAGCGACGCUCCACUAUCAGAGAUUUUGCACAACAGAGAUGCAACUGGUCGAGUGGCCAAAUGGGCGAUUGAACUUCUUCCCCUUGAUAUCAAGUUUGAGGCAAAGAAAGCCAUUAAGUCCCAGGCAAUAGCAGAUUUCCUCGCCGAGUGGAUCGAACAACAGCAGUCGACUGAAGUUCACUCGGAGCAUUGGACCAUGUUUUUCGAUGGUUCUAAGAUGUUGAAUGGUUCCGGUGCUGGGGUUGUCCUGGUUUCCCCCAGAGGAGAUAAGCUCAGAUAUGUGCUCCAGAUUCACUUUGAUUCCUCCAACAAUGAGGCAGAAUAUGAGGCCCUCCUGUAUGGGUUGCGCAUGGCCAUUUCACUCGGCGUCCGUCGCCUAAUGGUCUAUGGCGACUCGGAUUUAGUGGUCAAUCAGGUGAUGAAAGAGUGGGACGUGAGAAGCCCAGCCAUGACUGGAUACUGCAAUGCAGUGAGGAAGCUGGAGAAAAAGUUCGAGGGGUUGGAGCUCCAUCAUAUACCCCGACUGAAGAAUCAAGCAGCUGAUGAUCUAGCAAAGAUAGGUUCCAAGAGAGAAGCCAUUCCGAGUGGCGUGUUCUUAGAGCAUAUACAUACUCCGUCAGUCAAAGAAGACCCUUUCACAGAAGGAACUCCGCAGCCUAAGAGCGCCACAUAUCCGACUGAAGUGGAAGUCCCAGCAGUGGUCGACUUGGUCAUGGAGGAAGAAAGGGAGAUGGCUCUGAUCCGCUCGACCAUCUACCAACAAGAUCUGCGCCGUUUCCACGCCCGAAAUGUGAGAGGUCGAGCCUUCCAGGAAGGAGAUCUGGUUCUCCGAGUGGAUCAGCACAAACCACACAAGCUUGCUCCUUCUUGGGAAGGCCCCUUCAUCGUCACUAAGGUUCUCCACAACGGGGCGUACCAUCUUUACAACGUCGAGCAUAAUAUCGACGAGCCCCGAGCUUGGAACGCGGAGCUACUCCGCCCAUUUUACACUUAA